UAAGGAAUAUUGCUCAAUGGGAGAAAUCCUGAAGCAGCAACGCCGCGUGGAGGAUGAAGGGCUUUCAGCUUGUAAACUCCUGUAAAGAAGGAAAAAAUUCCCAUUAGAAGGGAAAUGAUGGUACUUCUAAAGUAAGCCCCGGCUAACUACGUGCCAGCAGCCGCGGUAAUACGUAGGGGGCAAGCGUUGGCCGGAUUUACUGGGUGUAAAGGGUGCUCAGGCGGAUUUGUAAGUCAGCGGUGAAAUCUCACAGCUUAACUGUGAAACCGCCGUUGAUACUGCAAGUCUAGAGUAUGGAAGAGAGUGAUGGAAUGUCUGGUGUAGCAGUGAAAUGCGUAGAUAUCAGAUAGAACACCAAUGGCGAAGGCAGUCACCUGGUCCAUUACUGACGCUAAAGCACGAAAGCGUGGGUAGCAAACA
rnacentral:rRNA from 1 species